AUGCCCGCAAUCUCACUCUCCUGCUGGGCCAAGAAGGCAGCCGCCGGGUCCUCCUCGGCCGCUUCGGGGGCCCCGCUCUCCGACGACGAGAAGAAGCCAAAGUCAUCAGCCAUUUUCCCCGCGUCUCUGCCGAAGCGUCCGUCUGGUGCUCGGCUCUGCCCGGCGCGUGCCCCGCGCUGCGCCCGGCGGCCGCGGCACUGUCACCCGAGCACCCCGGGGGGAGCCGCUCGGCCUCGGCGGGGACGGGCUCAGCGCGGCGGCCCCACACUUCCUCUCCGCCACCGGGCCCGGCUCGCCUGUCACUGCGGCUGCAGGCGGGAGGAGCCGGGACGGGAAUGCGGUGAUGUCACCGGCCGAGGGAGGAGGCCCGCAGGACGGCCGGAGGUCGCCUCUCAGCGGCCACAGGAGGGCGGCAGCAGGACGGCGGCGCAGCCCCAGGGGCCCGGGGCCGCGCUACCCGCUCGCGGCCACCAGCGCGCGUCUCCAGGACACAGGACUGGCGCAGCUCCUGCCGGGUCCGGAGGCGAAGCAGAUGGGACCAAGGGACCAUCGCGUGUACAGGGUCACCGCAGGCUGGCAGCCCGGAUUUCAGGAGCACCGAGGGGGUGGUCGCAGCGCAACCUGGCUCCUCCUGAUUCAUUCUGCACAAGUUUCUUCUCCAAGGCUCGGCGGGUGUUACGAAGCCCCGUUAUCAGGAAGGAGCCUUGGAAAGGGAUGGAACAUGUGCCCUGUGCAGUGGAAGCCCAAAGUCCUAACCAUUUGACUCCCAGGAAAUUCCCCAAACCUUUCUUAAUUUCUAAGACUCUUGAGAGUCCCUUGUACUACAAGGAGAUCAAACCAGUCAAUCCUAAUGGAAAUCAACCAUGAAUAUUCAUUGGAAGAACUGAUGCUGAAGCUGAACCUCCAAUACUUUGACCAUCUGAUUCGAAGAGCCAACUCAUUGAAAAAGACCCUGAUGCUGGGAAAAAUUGAAGGCAGGAGGAGAAGGGGACAAAACAGGAUGAGAUGGAUGGACAGACUCAGUGGACAUGAGUUUGACCAAGCUCCAGGAGAUGGUGAUGGACAGGGAAGCCUGGUGUGCUGCAGUCCAUGGGGCGACAAAGAGUUGUCCACUUUUCCCAGAACCAUUUGUUGAAAGAGUUGUUCUCUUAAUUUCCUUUUUAGACUUUUCACUGUUAGUGUAAAGGAAUGCAAUUGAAAUUUGUGUGUUAUCUUUGUAGCCUGAUGUUUUAUUGAAUUCACUUGUUAGUCCUAACAGUUUCGUGGGCUUCCCUGGUAGUUUAGCUAGUAAAGACUCCACCUGCAAUGUAGGAGACCCUGGUUUGAUCCCUGGGUCAGGAAGAUCCCCUGGAGAAAGGAUAGGCUACCCACACCAGUAUUCUUGGGCUUCCCUGGUGGCUCAGACAGUAAAGAAUCCACCUGCAAUGCGGGAGGCCUGGGCUCAAUCCCUGGGUUGGGAAGACACCCUGGAGAAGGGAUGGGCUACCCACUCCAGUAAUCUUUCUGUGGGGUCACAAAGAGUCGGACACAACUGAACAGUUUUGUGUAUGUGUGUGGAAGCUUUAGGGUUUUCUACAUGUAAAACCAUGUCACUACAUGUAGAUUGCUAUUUGGUCAUAGAAUCAAGGACAAUUCCUAUGUAUAUUUCUGGAAUUCUUGCUCUGCCUAGUUCCCUCCUCUCCAGGACCUUGCCUUGCAAACACUAUUCACUUCAACCUCCCGAAACUCCUAUCUCGGUCUCUUUGACUUUUGAAACCACUGAGCUCUGUUUGGGUUGUCCUUUCAGACUCUGCAGUUUAGAAACUUCUUCAGGAAGAAAGCCUGGAAAGUUACAAGCUUGAUAUGACUUAGCCAAGAAUGCUGCUAAAUAUCUUAAAAGGCACCAAACACCCCCUCACAAAAGGAAUCAUCCACCCAAAAGAGUUAAGUAAAGCCCAAGUCGAGAAACCACAAUCUGGAGACUUAAGCAGAUUCCACAUGACUUUUUUGCAAGAGUAUUUCAUACAUGAUGUUGGGAAAGUCCUCUUGCAUCACAUGAGAUAUCACAUCACAUCUAGUUGCUCCUUAAUGACAUUAAUGUUGAUCAGCAGGUUUAGGUGUUGGUCAGCUCAACUCUUUAAUAACAAAGUUUCAGAUCAGCUUUUCAUCUCAGGUUUUAGCAUCCAUUGUGAUCUUUAUCUAAAUCAAUUACUUUAUUUGGAAUUGAAGUUGUGGUAAUUCUAUUCCUCUCAAUAUUUCUGCAUUAGCUGGAAGUUCUUAAAGUACUUUCACUUGUUAUCAAUUUGGUUGCCCAUAGGUAGAAUUCAUGGAGGACAGAUAAGAUCAAAGUUUGAUUGCUUCUCUUAAUAUACCAGCUUUCAGAAAAAUGAAGUGCUGUGCUGGCAAUCUCCAAAAGUAGUUAAUGAGCUAUGGGUUUGUGUUUAUCUCUGUUUGAUAGCAUAAUAAACUCUUCGAUUUAUAUAUAUUUGAUGUGUUUCGAUUCAUUGUAGGCAUUAUACUUUUUAAGUACCUCUAUUUAGGUAUGCUAAGUCGCUUCAGUCGUGUCUGACUCCUAGAGACCCUAUGGACUGCAGCCUACCAGGCUCUUCCAUCCAUGGGAUUUGCCAGGCAGGAGUACUGGAGUGGGUUGCCAUUGCCUUCUCAUGCCUAUUUAGGUAUAACUGACAUGUAAUAAGCUGCACAUAUUUAAAUUUUACAGUCUGAGAAAUUUUAACAUAUGUGUACAUCUAGGAAAUCCUCGUUGCAAUCAAGAUAAUGAACAUCUCCAAUAACAUGAAAGAUUUAUUUGUGCCCUUUGUAAUUCCUUUCUGCCUUAACUCCCAGCCUCCUUCCAAUCUCCAGGCAACCACUGAUGUGUUUUAUGUAUUGUACUGAGUUUUAUAUAAAUGCAAUCAUACAAUAUUCAUUCUUUUUUUAACUCAGCAUAAUUCUUUAAAUAUUCAUCCAUAUUGUUCCAUUUAUCAAUAGUUUAUUCCUUUUUAUUGUGUUAAGUACUAAAAUGUAUUCAUCCCUUUACCUGUUGAUAGAUAUUUGGGUUGUUUCCAGUUUCUAGAUAUUACCAAUAAAGUUGUUAUGAACAUUUGUGCACAAGGCUUUGUAUGAAUAUAUGUUUUCUUUUUUCUUGGGUAAAUACUUGAGGCGAAAUGGUUGGAUCAUAGGCUAAGAGGAGGCUCAACUUUUAUUUUUAUCAUUUAAAGUUUUUAUUUUUUAUAAGAGUUUUAGAUUACAGAAAAAUUGUGAAAGUAAUACAGAGAGUUCCCAUAUAUGCCAUACCCAGUUUCCCCCAUUAAGAUUUUACAUUAAUACUGUAUAUUUGUCACAGUUAAUAAAAAUAAUAUUGAUAUACUAUUAAAUAAAGUUAGUAUAAUAUUAUUAUAUUUUAUUUAAAGCUUUUACCUAGUAUUUAUGGGCUCGAUAAAGGACAGAAAUGGUCUGGACUUAACAGAAGCAGAAGAUAUUAAGAAGAGGUGGCAAGAAUACACGGAAGAACUGUACAAAAAAGAUCUUCACCACCCAGAUAAUCAUGAUGAUGUGAUCACUCAUCUAGAGCCAGACAUCUUGGAAUGUGAAGUCAAGUGGGCCUUAGAAAGCAUCACUACAAACAAAGCUAGUGGAGGUGAUGGAAUUCCAGUGGAGCUCUUUCAAAUCCUGAAAGAUGAUGCUGUGAAAGUGCUGUACUCAAUAUGCAAGCAAGUUUGGAAAACUCAGCAGUGGCCACAGGACUGGAAAAGGUCAGUUUUCAUUCCAGUUCCAAAGAAAGGCAAUGCAAAAGAAUGCUCAAACUACCGCACAAUUGCACUCAUCUCACAUGCUAGUAAAGUAAUGCUCAAAAUUCUCCAAGCCAGGCUCAGCGAUAUCUGAACCAUGAACUUCUUGAUGUUCAAGCUGGUUUUAGAAAAGGCAGAGGAACCAGAAAUCAAAUUACCAACAUCUGCUG
rnacentral:lncRNA from 1 species